AGGAACCUGCCAUACAAAACAAUGCUGAUUCUCUUCAGGACCUGCCUUUCUUUGCCUCUAGACCUAGUUAUGGAAAGUAAUAGAGAAGGCGGAUUGAAGAACUGAUGCAUGGAUGAGAUUUUUGAUACGAAGCACCAACCUGUGCUCUGAAUUCCACAGACAAAACUGUGCUGAUGUACUGUUUCCUUCUGUCCCUUUGGAGCUGGAAAUUUUUGACAUUCCCAACUGACCCAUAAUGGCAGAAGACAGAUCAGUAUUUGAGAAAGGAGAAGGAUUACAAAGAGGCACAAAAUCUGGGGGUAUGUUUGAUAUGUUCAUUGUCUUGAUUGUGGCAAUGGUUUGAUAGGUGUAGAAAAUAUACAUAUAUAUACAUAUCAAAUUGCACACUUCAAAUAUGUACAAUUUACUGUAUGUCAAAUAUAUCUCAAAGUUGUUUCAGCAUAAUAAAACACUGCUUUCAAAUUAGCAAUACAAGUUAUUAAACAUCUAAGAGCAAAUGUAACAAUAAAUAUCUAAGAGCAAAUGUAACAAUAAAUAAAUACCUAAGAGCAAAUGUAAUAGUAAAUAAAUAUCUAAGAGCAAAUGUAACAAUAAAUGUGCAAUGCCAAAAUUACAAAG